ACUUCAUGGUUUGGACAUUGCAUGAGUUUAUCAUUGAAUCUCUCCAACACCUUUUAUAAGGUUUCACCUUUGAGUUCACAAAAAUUAAUUAUUUCAUCUCUCAAUU
rfam:Capsicum annuum cultivar Zunla-1 chromosome 6, whole genome shotgun sequence